rnacentral:rRNA from 1 species
UAUGCCUACGGGGGGCAGCAGUGGGGGAUAUUGCACAAUGGGGGGAACCCUGAUGCAGCGACGCCGCGUGGGUGAAGAAGCGCCUCGGCGCGUAAAGCCCUGUCAGCAGGGAAGAAAAUGACGGUACCUGAAGAAGAAGCCCCGGCUAACUACGUGCCAGCAGCCGCGGUAAUACGUAGGGGGCAAGCGUUAUCCGGAUUUACUGGGUGUAAAGGGGGCGCAGACGGCGAUGCAAGCCAGGAGUGAAAGCCCGGGGCCCAACCCCGAGACUGCUCUGGAAACUAUUGAACUUGAGUGCAGGAGAG